rnacentral:rRNA from 1 species
GUACCUUAGUUAAUACCUAAGAGUAUCGGACGUUACUCGCAGAAUAAGCACCGGCUAACUCUGUGCCAGCAGCCGCGGUAUAUACAGAGGGUGCAAGCGUUAAUCGGAUUUACGUGGGCGAUAAAGCGUGCNANNGGCGGCUAAUUAAGUCGGAUGUGAAAUCCCCGAGCUCAACUUGGGAAUUGCAUGCGAUACUGGUUAGCUAGAGUAUGGGAGAGGAUGGUAGAAUGCCAGGUGUAGCGGUGAAAUGCGUAGAGAUCUGGAGGAAUACCGAUGGCGAAGGCAGCCAUCUGGCCUAAUACUGACGCUGAGGUACGAAAGCAUGGGGAGCAAACAGGAUUAGAUACCCUGGUAGUCCAUGCCGUAAACGAUGUCUACUAGCCGUUGGGGCCUUUGAGGCUUUAGUGGCGCAGCUAACGCGAUAAGUAGACCGCCUGGGGAGUACGGUCGCAAGACUANNACUCAAAUGAAUUGACGGGGGCCCGCACAAGCGNUGGAGCAUGUGGUUUAAUUCGAUGC